CUUGACCUUGACCUUUGACCUUGACCUCAUUUUCUAAGUUAGGACCUAGGGGCCUCAAAUAAAAACAUUCCAGGGUUAUACGGUUAACUGUUUAUGAGUUAAAAAAACAUACUGACAAAUUUAUUUUGUAAAGGUAGAUAACUCCUAUAAAAUGUCAUCGAAUCGCUUCGAUCCAAAUUAGCCAACAAUUUCUGAGGAUGCAACGAACAAUUUGUAAAAGGAAAUUUGUCGCUAUCUUUUUUGGUUACGAAGGAGAUGCACACAGAUGAUAAACAGUGAAUAGGGAGAUAACUCUUACAAAGAAAAUGGUUCGCCUUAGCAGGGUGAAAUUUAAAAGCGCAUAAACUAUACGAUACCAUAUGAGAAAUAUCUAAGUGACAUAUUGCGAAACAAACAUUUAUCGCAAGAACAAAAUUUGGCGGAAGAAAAAAAAAAUGAUAAUAAUAAUCAGAAGAAAAACAAUAAAUCUUUCCACAGAAAAGUGGAAAGACUUAAUAAUAAGAAACGGGACAAAAACAAUAAGUCGCCAAAAACUCCGUUUUGGUGACUUAAAAAGAGAAGAAAAACGUAUGUAUAUUGGUUAGUUCGUUUUACUUCUAGACAGCCUUUUAAUCUUAUACACUGUUUUAUUAUUUUUUUUAGUGUUUCCGCUGAAUGAAAAAUAUUUAACUUAACCCCCCCCCUUUUUCCCAAAAACAAACAACACCAAAAAACGAAAAACAAUAUAAAUUCCAC
rnacentral:lncRNA from 1 species